rnacentral:misc_RNA from 1 species
UUGUGUGAAGUGUGGUGUGCUCGUGGUGUUCCGAACAUGAUGAAGGUGAAAAGUAAACAAAGCUGCAUUUCAGUGAUGACAUUCGCUCGAUUGUUGUUCGAAAUCGACUAGGAUGUUACUUGUAAGGAGAAGACUAACCAGUGUUAUUUGAGGGAUUCGCUGUGAUCAGAUAAUUGUAGAUCUAAGAUACAACACUAGCAGAGAGGAGAGCAGGGAACGAACUAUAUGUUGUUAUUCACAUGUAUCAUUUAAGAGAUUUGUAUGAUGUGUGCAUGGCAAAGGUUUGGUUCAACAAUAAUGGAAAGAAACAUACGCCUGACAUAUAAUUUACUCCAUGAGAGAUGUAUGAGAAUAUGUGCCGUUCUGAGCACUGUAAAAUCACCACAUUGCCGAAUUCACAGGGGUAACAAUCAGACUGCAGUUGAAGUUAUGAGCAAGAAUCUUUCUCUUAGAUAUUUAGCACAUUCUGCAGACACUGAUGACAGCGAGUCAGAUGAAUUUAGUGAACAGGAUGAUGAUCCAGACUAUGAAAAACUUAAGGAAAUGAGUGAAUCUUUGAGAAACUUCUUGUAUCCAGAUUCUGAAGACCCUCUGUUGCUCAAAUUGAAGACCUGUAUGUCAGUACAGGAAGUAUUUAAUAUUAUUAGACCCACAGAGCUUCAACUUACUUCCCAACAUGUGAGCCAAGCUGUGUUAGUGCUGUGGGAUCUGCAGAAAAUAUUUUACAGGGUGUAUGCCAAAGAAGAAGACGAGGCUAAGUUUUAUAACCCAGCAGUAGGCACAUCAGACUCACUGAGACAUUAUAUUAAUGUUGUCAGUAAUCAUGAAGAUUUUAAAUAUUUGAUAGAGCUUGUAAAUAGAACUUAUCUUCAAAUGACACCUGAUGCUGCAACAUGUACAUUACUGUAUUUAAGAAAGAUGGACGUACGCUUGACACAUCCAGUUAUGCAAAAUUUAGUAGCAUAUUGUGCUUCACUCAUUGAGUCGUUAUCAACACAUUUUCCACUUACUGCCUUAUCCAGAUUUACAGUGGCAGUUUAUAUACCAAAUAGUAUUUGGACAUGCAUGAUUCUAAAAGAAGUUAUUCCACUCAUUUACAGUGCACUAGAUAGAUGUGAAAAUAUACAAGACUUCCACUUAAUAACAGUGUGCAUGAAAAAUGCACAUGCUCUGCUGAACUGGUCUUUUAUAAAAUUAUACAAGGAAAUAGCUGAGGGACUCGUGUCAAGAGGAGAAAUGACAGCUCAGGGGACAAGGACAAUUCUUAAGGCUGCUGUAUUUCUCAGUCUUCCACAAUGGUCACAAAAAAAUGCUUCAACAAUAAAGAUUCUGUUGUUGUCUUUGAAGGGAAAAGUCUCAGAACUAACUCCAGAGGAGUUGUUUAUGCUGCAUAAGGUUUUUGUCAGUCAUCUGGAGCCUGCUGAUCUCUUGGAAGAAAUAAAAUCAUGUGCGAAUAAGUUUCUUUCAAGAAUAAGUAAUGAUGACAGCAGGUCUGCAGCAACAUUGGAAGCAACUGCAAAACUUCUUUCUUGUGUGGUUCCCUUUUCACCACCAUCAAAGAAAAAUGUUUUUGAAGAACUGGCAAGGCAGCAUAUUCAAGAUAGCGUCUUCUCAUCUUCUCUCCCAACAGUUUUCAAAUUGAUGUGGCACCUGAAAACACAUGACACACGUCUGUGUGAUGCCUUUUGGAAUAAAAUGCUCCAAGAUUUAGAAAACUCUGAAGCAGAAAGGGAAGGCUCCCAGUUGCUGAGAACUGCAUAUAGGUACAUACAUUUCAGUAACAGUCUUGGUGGAAAGUAUAGGCAUUUUGAGUUUGAAAGAAGCUUGCUUCAGUGGCUACUGCAUGAAAUGGAAAAUGGUCUGUCUGGUAUAAUUCCAUCAAAAUUCGCAAUGAUAGCAGCAUUUUUGUUAGCUUUUGGAAACACUUUCCAAGGAGAAGUUAUUGAUGAGCUUUUUAUUGCAAGAGUAGUUGACAGAUUGGUUGAAAUGGCACCACAGUUUACUUCAGUUGACUGCUUGAAUAUAUCUAGAGGAUUUCAACGUGGAGUGGAAAUGUGUUAUAAGAAGGGUGCUCAUAAAAUUUUGUUAACUCAGUAUGCAAAAGUUAAUUCUGUACUUAAUACUUGUGCUCAGAGGCAUUUGAGUGAGAAAAACUUGGACAUUGUAACUAUUAAUGUGAUAGGAAGAGCAUUUGUUAAUCCCAGAAGCAGCUCGCAGACUGAUAUUUUUGAACACAUCAUUGAUGGAUAUGAAAAAUGUAAUGAUCCACUAUCAUCAAGGAUAAUACGAGAUGCAGUUUGGAACUUUCGCAGCUUCGACUACUUGGCACCUACAACAGUUGACAGAAUGGUGGACUAUAUUACACAUAAUAAGGCACAUGUACUUGCUGAAACUGCAGAAAAAUUGCUCACCCUUUGUUAUGUGCAUGGCUAUACACCCACCGGUGCAGGUUCUUUUUUUUCUGCAAUGAUAGAUCUUAUUCUCAGGGACAGAGAUUUCAUGGUUAGUCUAGCAGUCAUUCGUUCAUCUCUUGCUCUCUGCUUUUACAACAGUUUGCCAAAGGCUUUAAUUCAUUAUAUUUUCACUGUUGACUUUCUGGAGUGGAUUGAAGCAGAGUUGUCACAGUGCUAUUCGAAGUUGGUGAUUCUGCUGAAUUGCAGGAUACUUAUCCUGUCCGUGUUCGUCAUAAUUUGAUGGAGCUUAACCGUGCAGUUUGUUUGGAUUAUCCUGAUGCUGAUGUACCUUGGUUUCAUAAAAAAUACUGCCAGGAACUUGCUGUUUCAGAACCAAAACUCAAGUCCGUCUUCCAGCAAGAUGUGCUGAAGCAUCUCAUCACAGUUGUGGGUGGAAAACAGUUUAUAGAAUCAGAUGUGUUUUCACCAUAUUCAUAUAAAAUUG